GUGGGGAAUAUUGGACAAUGGGCGAAAGCCUGAUCCAGCCAUGCCGCGUGUGUGAAGAAGGUCUUCGGAUUGUAAAGCACUUUAAGUUGGGAGGAAGGGCAGUAAGUUAAUACCUUGCUGUUUUGACGUUACCGACAGAAUAAGCACCGGCUAACUUCGUGCCAGCAGCCGCGGUAAUACGAAGGGUGCAAGCGUUACUCGGAAUUACUGGGCGUAAAGCGUGCGUAGGUGGUGGUUUAAGUCCGUUGUGAAAGCCCUGGGCUCAACCUGGGAACUGCCUCCAAAACUGCAUGACUAGAGUACGGUAGAGGGUAGUGGAAUUUCCUGUGUAGCGGUGAAAUGCGUAGAUAUAGGAAGGAACACCAGUGGCGAAGGCGACUAUCUGGACUGAUACUGACACUGAGGUGCGAAAGCGUGGGGAGCAAACAGGAUUAGAAACCCCUGUAGUCC
rnacentral:rRNA from 1 species